GACGAACGCUGGCGGCGUGCUUAACACAUGCAAGUCGAACGGAAAGGCCCCUUUGGGGGUACUCGAGUGGCGAACGGGUGAGUAACACGUGAGUAACCUGCCCUUGACUUCGGGAUAACUUCAGGAAACUGGGGCUAAUACCGGAUAGGAAUCCGUGCUGCAUGGUGGGGGUUGGAAAGCUUCGGCGGUUUUGGAUGGACUCGCGGCUUAUCAGCUUGUUGGUGGGGUAGUGGCUUACCAAGGCUUUGACGGGUAGCCGGCCUGAGAGGGCGACCGGCCACAGUGGGACUGAGAUACGGCCCAGACUCCUACGGGAGGCAGCAGUGGGGAAUAUUGCACAAUGGGCGGAAGCCUGAUGCAGCAACGCCGCGUGCGGGAUGACGGCCUUCGGGUUGUAAACCGCUUUCAGCAGGGGCGAAGCUUGUGGUGACGGUACCUGCAGAAGAAGCACCGGCUAACUACGUG
rnacentral:rRNA from 1 species